CAUACUAUGACAUCACUAAGGCAUGCUGCUAGUUUUUAGGCUUGGGCCUAGAAAUUUCAGGGAAUAGGAUGUUGCUUUCCUGGGAGACUUUAUAAUCUUCACCAGAAUAUUCCAUCAAAUCCAAUUCUCUAGGCCUCUCAUUCAAGCUCUAACUAAUACCUUCCCCCACCCCAGCAGUGUAUCUCACUCACCACAGUUCUUUCAAUCCUUUUUUCUUUGCUCUGUGGCACUGCCUCCCUCAAAGCGAUAGUCGGAUGGAGAGAUUAGUAAUGACAUCAAGAACCUGGAAAUUAUUUUGUGAUUCUGGUUCUACAUUCGCCUCAGAGAACAACUAAAUGGGCAACAUAAUUAAACACUAUAGUGGUUGGUAAAUUAAUAUCCCUUACUUUUUUUGUUUUCAUCAGCACCAGCAUUUUUGACUUAGGAACAGAGUUUCCUAAAUUCUUAAAUCAGAAGGACUAUAACUUGGAAUUACAGAUUCUACAAGCAUCUCACCCUCUUAACCCACUCUCUUCGACUCUCUUGCACACAGUCACAGUUACUACCGUAACGCACAAAGCCUUGAGAAAACAUAGUUAAAAAGGAGCAACAAAAGAUAUGUCAUCAAAGAUAUUCGAGGUGGUUUUGUGAAAUGACAUUAUGGGGCUCUUGCAUAUUGGAAAUAAGUACGGCUUGUACAGAAUGGCAUACUGAAUUACAUCCUCCUCCAAAAUGGUUGCACACACCCAGCUGCAUAAGCUUGCAAAGAGAACAAAGGCUGCUAUAAAUAUUCCAAAAAAGCCAAUAAAAAAAACCUAGGAGCGGUUAGUUCUCCA
rnacentral:lncRNA from 1 species